rnacentral:rRNA from 1 species
UGGGGAAUAUUGGACAAUGGGCGCAAGCCUGAUCCAGCCAUGCCGCGUGAGUGAUGAAGGCCCUAGGGUUGUAAAGCUCUUUCACCGGUGAAGAUAAUGACGGUAACCGGAGAAGAAGCCCCGGCUAACUUCGUGCCAGCAGCCGCGGUAAUACGAAGGGGGCUAGCGUUGUUCGGAUUUACUGGGCGUAAAGCGCACGUAGGCGGACUAUUAAGUCAGGGGUGAAAUCCCGGGGCUCAACCCCGGGACUGCCUUUGAUACUGGUAGUCUUGAGUUCGAGAGAGGUGAGUGGAAUUCCGAGUGUAGAGGUGAAAUUCGUAGAUAUUCGGAGGAACACCAGUGGCGAAGGCGGCUCACUGGCUCGAUACUGACGCUGAGGUGCGAAAGCGUGGGGAGCAAACAGG